UACGGAGGGUGCAAGCGUUGUUCGGAUUUACUGGGCGUAAAGCGCGCGCAGGUGGGUGAACAAGUCGGAAGUGAAAUCUUGAGGCUCAACCUCGAGGCUGCUCCCGAAACUGUUCGCCUAGGGACUGGUAGAGGCUGGUAGAAUUCCCGGUGUAGCGGUGGGAAUGCGUAGAGAUCGGGAAGAAUACCCGUGGCGAAGGCGGCCAGCUGGGCCAGGUCCGACACUGAGGCGCGAAAGCGUGGGGAGCAAACAGG
rnacentral:rRNA from 1 species